AGCCGCCUAAGGUGGGAUAGAUGAUUGGGGUGAAGUCGUAACAAGGUAGCCGUAUCGGAAGGUGCGGCUGGAUCACCU
rnacentral:rRNA from 1 species